GAUGAACGCUGGCGGCGUGCUUAACACAUGCAAGUCGAACGAAGCACUUUAUUUGAUUUCCUUCGGGAAUGAUUAUUUUGUGACUGAGUGGCGGACGGGUGAGUAACGCGUGGGUAACCUGCCUUGUACAGGGGGAUAACAGUUGGAAACGGCUGCUAAUACCGCAUAAGCGCACGGCAUCGCAUGAUGCAGUGUGAAAAACUCCGGUGGUAUAAGAUGGACCCGCGUUGGAUUAGCUAGUUGGUGAGGUAACGGCCCACCAAGGCGACGAUCCAUAGCCGACCUGAGAGGGUGACCGGCCACAUUGGGACUGAGACACGGCCCAAACUCCUACGGGAGGCAGCAGUGGGGAAUAUUGCACAAUGGGCGAAAGCCUGAUGCAGCGACGCCGCGUGAGCGAAGAAGUAUUUCGGUAUGUAAAGCUCUAUCAGCAGGGAAGAUAAUGACGGUACCUGACUAAGAAGCACCGGCUAAAUACGUG
rnacentral:rRNA from 1 species